GGCGCAGGCGCGGAGAGGCGCACAGCGCAGGCGCUGGCGCGGAGAGGCGCAGGCCCAGGUCCACUCCCCAGCUGUGAAAGGAAUGAAGAUAUAGAGAAACAAGGAAGAAAUUGACCCCGACGAAGAAGAAAGUGCCAAGAAAAAGCAUUUGGAUAAGAAGAGAAAAUUGAAGGAGAUGUUUGAUGCGGAAUAUGAUGAAGGAGAAAGCACAUAUUUUGAUGAUCUUAAAGGAGAAAUGCAGAAAGAAGCACAGCUGAAUCACGUAGAAUUUGAAGAUCAAGAUGAUGAAGCCAGAGUUCAGUAUGAUGGUUUUCGACCUGGGAUGUACGUCCGCGUUGAGAUUGAAAAUGUUCCCUGUGAAUUUGUGCAGAACUUUGACCCCCAUUACCCCAUUAUCCUGGGUGGCUUGGGCAACAGCGAGGGAAAUGUUGGACACGUGCAGGUGGGUCCCUUUGCUGCAUAUUUGGUGCCUGAGGCUCUGUGGAUUUCCCCUCCAUCAGUCAUCUUACCCUCUCAUCCCCCUCAGAUGCGUCUGAAGAAACAUCGCUGGUAUAAGAAAAUCCUCAAGUCCCAAGAUCCAAUCAUAUUUUCUGUAGGGUGGAGGAGGUUUCAGACCAUCCUGCUCUAUUAUAUUGAAGACCACAAUGGAAGACAAAGGCUUCUAAAGUAUACCCCACAGCACAUGCAUUGUGGAGCAGCCUUUUGGGGUAAAAUAUGAUUACAAUAACUUGCCUAUUGCCGAGAUUAAACUUUACAGGCUGCGUUAUUUUAGCUUUGUGCUUUUCCUUUCAUAAAAUUCCACUCCUAAGAUGUUUCUGUUUUCUGGGAGCGGGGAGGUGGUUUGGAGUAUAUAUGUAAAUCUAUAUCCAAAUCUAAAUGUCCGUAUCCAGUAUGUUAAACUAGAAUCUAAAAUUUCUGGUUUGCUAUAUUUCUUUUUUUCCUUUUCCUUUAAGACCCUAUCACUCCACAGGGAACUGGUUUCUUGGCAAUACAGUCUGUCAGUGGCAUAAUGGUAACUAUCUUGGACAAUUUCUUUUACAGAUUGGUUUGAGAAAUAUAUCCUGAAUGUGGGUUAUUAUGUACAUGAGACUUUAAGUUGAAAAUUACUCAUUUUUAUUAUUAUAAAGUAAAUUUCCCUUUGCUUUUAAUCUUUGUACAUCCUUUUCAGUAGGGUGUGGGAUUAGAGGAGGGGAGGUGGAAGAAUUAUAAUGGUACAUUUCC
rnacentral:lncRNA from 1 species